GAAGAAUCAUGCAUGAUGAAAUCAUAAAAGCUACCGAUGGUUUUGAUGCUUCAUACUGCAUUGGGAAGGGAGGAUAUGGUAGUGUCUACAAAACAAGUUUGCCAUCAGGAAGCGUAGUAGCCGUGAAGAAGCUCCACUCAUUUCAUGACAGUGAGAGAACAUGUCAAGAAGAGUACAUGAACGAGAUAAGGGCAUCAACUGAGAUAAGACAUCUGAACAUCGUAAAACUUUAUGGCGUUUUUCUGUCUGCUAUAUACUCAUUUCUGGUUUAUGAGUACCUGAAUGGUGUUAACUUGGCCACAAUCUUGAAAAAUGACAAAGAAGCAAAAGAACUGGAUUGGAGUAAGAGAGUAAAUAUUAUUAAAGGUGUUGCCAAUGCCCUGUUUUACAUGCACCACAACUGCUCACCGCCAAUUGUUCAUGGAGACAUAACAAGCAAAAACAUUUUGCUUGAUUCUGAGUAUGAGGCUCACGUAACAGAUAUUGGGACUGCAAAGCUUCUAAAUAACGAUUCAUCCCAUUGGACUGCUCCAUCAGGCACACACAACCAUCUUGCACCAGAGCUUUCUUACACAACGAAGGUGAGUGAAAAAUGUGAUGUUUAUAGUUUUGGAUUGGUAGUACUAGAAGUGGUCAAAGGAAAACAUCCGGGUGAAAUCUUCUUCUCUAUGUCAUCCCCUUCAUCUCAGAUGCCACUCUUGGAAGAUAUUCUAGACCAACGCCUUCCAACUCCUUCUCCUCAAGUUCAAGAAGAACUAAUGACAAUUGUGAAGGUUGCAACUACAUGUUUACACAGCAAUCCACAAUUUCGUCCGACUAUGCAUAUGAUUUCUGAGAUUUUAGAAGCUUAAACUUCACUUUUCUAAAUCUAGUAGAUUAAUAAUACUAUAAUCAAAGUACUUUUCUUGUAUUAUAAAGGUUUAUAGUAAUUCAAUAACCUGGCAACAGCUUCUUAAUAGACUUGAAGAAUUUGUGGCAUUCUUCUAAUUUUCAUUGUGCAAGUUGUGAUUUGGGCUGUCGAAUUUGUUUUGUUGGGGGCUGCCUUUUUGUUGUUCUGUAAUUGUGCUUUGUAAUGCAGAAUGCAUUUUGGCGAUCUUAUCAAGCUGGCAGGAUUUCUUGGCUUCUUAGUGUUGCUUUGCAUAUGGAUUUGCUGAUCAUUAAGCUCCUUCAUUGUUUCAGCAGGGACUCAUUGCUAGCGGAUGUAAUUCUAUUAUUUUGGGUCCUAUUCUACAGUGUUUUGUCUACUUCUUUGUUAUUGUACUCUGCUGAUUUCUUGUUUUGUGUUUUUGCCUGCAAUGGACCGUCUUGACUCUAGAGGGAAACACAACUCAAGA
rnacentral:misc_RNA from 1 species